AUGACAAGACCCCUGCCAGAGUCUAUACGACUCCUGAGGCACACUGGACUGGUCCCCCCAACCCCGGUGCCUUGGGCUACCCCCACCAAAGUUUUGUCAGUCAGCCCCACCCCUUCAGAAAGCAGCCCAGUCCUUGCCCUCGCCAAUCACCCCAGGGUGACUUUGGGUGGGUGACUCCUGGGGCUUCCCGCUCCAUUACUGGGCCGUCAUCUCCUGCCGCCCCAAGCUUGAUCUCCGUGGGCUCUUUGGGCUCUCAUCUCCAAGGAGCCAGGCCCCACCCUCGCCAGUCAUCCUUGGGUGACUUUGGGCUGGUGACUCCUGGGACUCCCUGCUGCAGACUGUGCCCUCCCCUCCUGCUGCCUCAAGGUCGACCUCCCUGGGUUCUUUGUGCUGGCGUCUCCAAGGAGCUGGGUCCCAACCCUGUGCUUCCCUCCCCCAUCGUGGAGCAGCGACUUGGACAUGGUGCUGACAUGGUCCCUCCCCCCGACCAGGAGGAGUGGAAUGUUGUGAUGUCACAGUCCACCUAG
rnacentral:lncRNA from 1 species